rnacentral:rRNA from 1 species
UACGUAGGUGGCGAGCGUUGUCCGGAAUUACUGGGUGUAAAGCGCGUGUAGGCGGGAGGCCAAGUCUGUGGUGAAAUCGCCUGGCUUAACUGGGCGGGGUCCAUGGAAACUGGUCACCUGGAGGUCGGUAGAGGCAAGUGGAAUUCCCGGUGUAGUGGUGAAAUGCGUAGAUAUCGGGAGGAACACCAGUGGCGAAGGCGACUACCUGGCCUGUUCUUGACGCUGAGGCGCGAAAGCUAGGGGAGCAAACGGG